GACGAACGCUGGCGGCGUGCUUAACACAUGCAAGUCGAACGGAAAGGCCCUGCUUUUGUGGGGUGCUCGAUUGGCGAACGGGUGAGUAACACGUGAGUAACCUGCCCUUGACUUUGGGAUAACUUCAGGAAACUGGGGCUAAUACCGGAUAUGAGCUCCUGCUGCAUGGUGGGGGUUGGAAAGUUUCGGCGGUUGGGGAUGGACUCGCGGCUUAUCAGCUUGUUGGUGGGGUAGUGGCGUACCAAGGCUUUGACGGGUAGCCGGCCUGAGAGGGUGACCGGCCACAUUGGGACUGAGAUACGGCCCAGACUCCUACGGGAGGCAGCAGUGGGGAAUAUUGCACAAUGGGCGGAAGCCUGAUGCAGCAACGCCGCGUGCGGGAUGACGGCCUUCGGGUUGUAAACCGCUUUCGCCUGUGACGAAGCGUGAGUGACGGUAAUGGGUAAAGAAGCACCGGCUAACUACGUG
rnacentral:rRNA from 1 species